rnacentral:rRNA from 1 species
AUUGAACGCUGGCGGCAGGCCUAACACAUGCAAGUCGAACGAGUGGCGGACGGGUGAGUAAUGUCUGGGAAACUGCCUGAUGGAGGGGGAUAACUACUGGAAACGGUAGCUAAUACCGCAUACCAUCAGAUGUGCCCAGAUGGGAUGAGCUGGCUGGUGGGGUAACGGCUCACCAAGGCGACGAUCCCUAGCUGGUCUGAGAGGAUGACCGGCCACACGGGGACUGAGACACGGUCCAGACUCCUACGGGAGGCAGCAGUGGGGAAUAUUGGACAAUGGGCGCAAGCCUGAUGCAGCAAUGCCGCGUGUAUGAAGAAGGCCUUCGGGUUGUAAAAUACUUUCAGCGGGGAGGCGUUACCCGAAGAGAAAGCACCGGCUAACUCCGUGCCAGCAGCCGCGGUAAUUC